CCUACGGGUGGCAGCAGUGGGGAAUAUUGCACAAUGGGGGAAACCCUGAUGCAGCGACGCCGCGUGAGUGAAGAAGUAUUUCGGUAUGUAAAGCUCUAUCAGCAGGAACGAGACAAGACGGUACCUGACUAAGAAGCCCCGGCUAACUACGUGCCAGCAGCCGCGGUAAUACGUAGGGGGCAAGCGUUAUCCGGAAUCACUGGGUGGAAAGGGAGCGUAGACGGCUGUGCAAGCCUGAAGUGAAAGGCGGGGGCCCAACCCCUGGACUGCUUUGGGAACUGUACGGCUGGAGUGCAGGAGAGGUAAGUGGAAUUCCUAGUGUAGUGGUGAAAUGCGUAGAUAUUAGGAGGAACACCAGUGGCGAAGGCGGCUUACUGGACUGUAACUGACGUUGAGGCUCGAAAGCGUGGGGAGCAAACAGGAUUAGAUACCCUAGUAGUC
rnacentral:rRNA from 1 species